GAAGCGUUCGGUUAAUGGAAAACUAAGUGCUGCUGCAGAAGAAGACUGUCCUUCUACCUCUAAUGGCUGCGAGGAAGGGGAGCAAGGAGGUAAGAAAGGGAGUCGAUCGAGUAGAAGGCACCUUGUAGAAUCUGCUGAUCUCAAGUGUAAGCUAGUUGACUUUGGUAACGCUUGUUGGACUUAUAAACAGUUCACAAGUGAUAUUCAGACGAGGCAGUAUAGGUGUCCUGAAGUAAUCCUUGGAUCUAAGUAUUCUACCUCGGCAGAUCUCUGGUCAUUCGCGUGUAUAUGCUUUGAACUUGCCACUGGUGAUGUACUCUUUGAUCCCCAUAGUGGAGACAAUUAUGAUAGAGAUGAGGUAAUGCUUAAGAUCUCUAGUUAGUCACGUGCAUAUAUGUAUGCGAAGCUAAUUUGCUUUUGUGUGACUAACAGGACCACUUGGCUUUGAUGAUGGAGCUUCUUGGGAUGAUGCCACGCAAGGUAAAUAGAAUCAUUACCAGGCUAUACCCUUCAAGGCCGUCUUAAACUCCAACUUCUUCCUCUAUUUGUGUGUGUUUGCAGAUAGCUUUAGGAGGCCGCUACUCAAGAGAUUUGUUCAACAGGCAUGGUGAUCUUCGACACAUAAGAAGACUUCGUUUCUGGCCUAUGAACAAAGUCCUUACCGAGAAGUACGAGUUCAGUGAGCAAGAUGCAAAUGAACUGAGUGACUUUCUUGUUUCGAUUCUUGAUUUCGUACCCGAGAAACGACCAACUGCGGCUCAGUGUCUUUUGCAUCCUUGGAUCAACUCUGUCCCUCGCUCUCUAGAACCGUCUCUCUCACCUCAAGACCAGAACCCGGAAGAGAAGCUGGAUACAGAGAGAAAGAAGAGAGAGAAGGAGGAGCAAGAAGCUGUGGUAGUUAAAAUGGGAAACGUUGCCAUAUCAUCCCCAAAGUCCAAACCAGGUAUGAGCAAAAGCUCCUCUUAUAAACAAGCAAUUUGAUUUUGAGCGAAAGGGGAAAUGUGAUAAUUAAAACUCGCCACUGUGCUAGUGAGAGAGCUCAAGUCAGAACCACUUCAAGCUGUUUACUAGUGAGCUCUCAACAUUUUCAUAUGCGCAGUUGUAAUAUCUUGUAUGUGUACUUUUACGAAUCCAAAUAUAUUGACAUUCAACAUGUAUUUUGACUGAAUAUAUAAUAUUUCAUUCAUGAAAUCACACUUGACGCCAAUGAAAUUAGUAACAGUCUUACAUUUUUACCCGGUUAAAGACAGAAGCUGUUUAUUACAAAUCAAGAUUAACACACACAAGUCAAGCAGAGAACCGUGAAGCGCGGAUUGUUUUGUUUUGACCACAGCUUCCCUUUUUCUUCCUCGCUGACUUUCCCCGUCUCCGCGUGAACUUAACAUAAACUCUUUUAUAUAAAAACUAGUCCUAUUUGAGAAGUUGAGUCUCUCUCAUUCACAUACAAGAGAGAAAAACAAAACACGUCUCGGUAACAUGAUAAGCGUUCCAGUGUCACUUAACGCCGCCGUCAGACUAGGCAUCGCCGACGCUAUCUGGAACUCCGGAGCCAACUCUCCUCUCUCCGUCUCCGAGAUCCUCCCUCGCCUCCUUGUCCCAUCCCGAGAAUCUCCAGCGUAUACUUGUAUACUUCGUACAGUCCCGGCUCUAACCUAUGGCCACAUUGGCAAUUGCCCAUGGUGCAUAGGUCCAAACAAAAUUUUAGUGUUAUUUUACUAAUUAGAAAAGUUCAUUUUAAUUUGUUAAAUUAUCAAUUAGUCGGUAAAGUUAUAACAAAAAGGCCCAUAAUUAACAAAACCAAUUUUAAAUUAAAAAAGACAAUAGUUUUUAAAUCACGGGGUGGUGGGCUAGUGGUCUUGAGGUAGUUAAAAACAUCAAUACGGACCCGAGUUCGAAUACCCCAUGUGGCCACAUAAUGCUUUACGCCCUCCCUAAGUUUAAAGUUAAUUGCGGCAUUGGUGCCGGAUCCUUGGGUAAUGGGUAUUAGUGUCGACUGGUUCCGGGCCAGGGGGAUUAGAUGGUUGGCAAUCAGAAACCACGUGCGGAUUACGGGCCUUUGGGCAAACGGAAACCACGUGCGGAUUACGGGUCACCUUUGAAACUCCUGUUAAAAAAAAAAAGUUUUUAAAAAACUUCUCCGUUCUUAAUUUUUCUUACAACAAAACCUAAUUUACACUUAAAUGCCCAUUUUUUUCUUUUAAUACUCCUUCAAGAACGGCCGGUACGUUGUCCAGAGCAAACUCGGCUGGGGCCAUUUCUCCACCGUCUGGCUCUCCUGGGACACUCUAUCCUCUGUACGCACACUCUCUCUCUCUCUCUCUCUCGCACCAAUCUUCAUACAAAUCACUUUAACCUAAUAUCAAUGAUCAUGAAAUUGCUAGGCCGCGUAGUUAGGCGUAUGAGAUUAUUGAUCAGGCGUUUAGGUCCGGUUUGUCACCUAGGCGUCGGUUCGAUUUGAUGUUAAUUAGAUGAACCAAAACCAUUGUUAGUUACUUUAAUUAUGUAAUUGUCUUUACUCUUUAUCGAUGCAACAGAGAUAUGUGGCGUUGAAGGUGCAAAAGAGCGCACAGCACUAUACCGAAGCUGCCAUGGAUGAGAUAACUAUAUUGCAACAGAUUGCUGAAGGUGACGCUGAUGAUACCAAGUGUGUUGUGAAGCUUUUGGAUCAUUUCAAACACUCUGGCCCCAAUGGGCAGCAUGUAUGUAUGGUUUUCGAGUACUUGGGAGAUAACUUAUUGACGCUUAUAAAGUAUUCUGACUACCGGGGCUUGCCUAUUCCCAUGGUUAAGGAGAUUUGUUACCACAUGUUGGUUGGUUUGGACUACUUGCAUAAAGAGCUCUCGAUUAUACACACUGAUCUCAAGCCUGAGAAUGUGUUGUUAGUGUCGAGGAUCGAUCCGUCUAAAGAUCCUAGGAAGUCUGGAGCUCCUCUUAUUAUUGCUAGUGGUAAGGAGAAGAUUGUUGACUCCAAUGGAGACUUCGUUAAGAAUCAUAAGAAAGAUGUUCAUAGAAAGGUGAAGCGUUCGGUUAAUGGAAAACUAAGUGCUGCUGCAGAAGAAGACUGUCCUUCUACCUCUAAUGGCUGCGAGGAAGGGGAGCAAGGAGGUAAGAAAGGGAGUCGAUCGAGUAGAAGGCACCUUGUAGAAUCUGCUGAUCUCAAGUGUAAGCUAGUUGACUUUGGUAACGCUUGUUGGACUUAUAAACAGUUCACAAGUGAUAUUCAGACGAGGCAGUAUAGGUGUCCUGAAGUAAUCCUUGG
rnacentral:lncRNA from 1 species